UUCAUUGUGAAACACUAAAAAUCAACAAAUUGGAAGAAGUCAGGUGUUGGGCGUUAAGAGAAACCAGCACAGGACUCCCUGCUGGCGUCAGCGUGGGUUGUGUAAAUGGAAGUGCAAAACGCACAAACUGCGCAGGGGCAAACACGCUCCUGAGGGUGUUGGCAUUUCCUCAACUCUCUCCAGGGAGCAGGAAACGGGACUAGAACGCUCCCCGCAACAUUUACAUCACGAGAUCUGGGCGGGGACGAAGCUAAAGCCUCCUUGUUGACCAAGCCCGGCCGGACGACUCUGAGCAAGCACCAAGCCCCAGUCCACACAGCCGCUUCCGCCCUUCCACCCGACCUCAACCGCAUGCCACCCCGCGUCAGGGCACCUUCCUGCGCCAUUACCAUUGUGCGGCUUCCCAGAGUGUUUCCCACGCAGCUCGGAGAUGGCAACGGUCACGGAGCAGGCGGUCCAGCCGGCAGCACACUUGGCAGCUCGCUCGGGGAGCGGACUUCCGCGCCUGGACGGAGAAAGAGCGCUCUUGCUACGGCCCACCUGAUUGGAAGUUCAUGGAGCCCGCUGAUUGGCUCCUGCUCCAUUGACCGCCCUCCGAGCUAAGAGUGACAGCGAAACCAAAUCCCUAACAGUGGAUGCUCCGGGUACCUGACUGGAUUCCGUGAGCUCUUCCUGUGCGUUGCUCCUGAAAGAAGGAUCACACGUGUGCGCAGACAUUUCCAGGGUCAGCAGCCAUGGAGGUGACCCCUGAUGUCAGGAGUUCAGGACAGCCUCGAAAAAUAAAUAAAUAUAUGCCAAAGAAUUUCUACUCAAGAAAUGAAGAAAGUAGAAUUAAAUGAAGGCAGUAUUCUACAGAGGAGUCAGGAUGAAAUAAAACCAAACAUUUCAACUGCUUCAGACAGGAUGUUUCUGCUUUAAAGAAAAUCAACCACACACUGCAAGAGUAAAUACAAGUAAACACAUAGAAUAUUAUGUUAUGUAUCAUACUCCAGGAAUUCUGACACAAGAACUUCUCAGGCCCUUGAAAACUCUGAAGUGAAAAUCCUGCACUUUGUGUGAUAAUCAGAUGGCUAGUGGUCAGGGUACUGUUGGUAGUUUCUCAUGAAAAAUGAUCUGAAAUCCAGAAAGACCAAGGAAUGCUCAAAAGCUGGAACUUGUGAAACUCACGUUUAUAACUGGGAAGUAGGUUGAAAGUUUAAGCCUCACCUAUUGUACCUGUGAAAAGCAGGAAAGAGGUUAAGACUUAGUUCAUAAUGAAAACAAAAAGCCUAUGUUUGUGUCAAUAUACCAGGAAAUUAUUCACUUGUAAGGGAGGCUAUUGUCUUCAUUCUAUGACAUUUAGCCUCAUCCUUGUCUAAACCUACAGGAUGCUAGUAAAUUCCACUCCUUUAUGCUGUGACAAAAAAAAGAGACACAUCUAUAUGUUUCCUGAGGACCAGAAUCCAUCCUGAUUGAAAAUCACUAACUGAGCAUCUAUGUGGGCUGAUUGAAAAGACACCCAGGUUGCUUCUCAACCAAGAGGAUUUCUCCAUUUCUCUACCUCCACACCACAAAUCAAGACGGGUCUUUCUUCCCAAAUUACUUCAACUCUGC
rnacentral:lncRNA from 1 species